CUGUAAUAGCAACAGGUUGAUAUAUUUUUCAUAAUGUGCAUAUUAUGUCCCAUAUACUCCAGGAAAAGACCCCAGCAGGAAUGUGUGCUGUUACCCUUGGGGACUGCUCUGAAGCAUUACUGCUCUGCAGUAUGUGAAACACCUGUUGUUAGAAGUAUUGAUGAUACUGAAGAAAUAACAAGGCUCUGCAGCAUAGAAACCUGUGUCAAUAGACUAUCAGCACUAUGAACUUGUGACAUUUUAAGAUGGCUUGUAGUGUGUGUGAAACAAAUAAACUGAAUGGC
rnacentral:lncRNA from 1 species